rnacentral:sRNA from 1 species
CGUCCUCGAUCUGCUGGGGGCAGAUGAAGUGGAUGUGACUGUCGAAGCCACCGGCGGUCAGGAUGCGCCCCUCGCCCGCGAUCACCUCGGUCCCCGGCCCGACAUGGAUGUCCACGCCGGACUGCACGUCCGGGUUGCCCGCCUUGCCGAUAUUGGCGAUGCGCCCGUCGCGCAGGCCCACGUCUGCCUUGUAGAUGCCCGUGUGGUCGACGAUCAGCGCGUUGGUGAUGACCGUGUCCAUCGAGCCCUGCGCGCGGCUGGCCUGCCCCUGCCCCAUGCCGUCGCGGAUG